UUGACGGGGCCCGCACAAGCGGUGGAGCAUGUGGUUUAAUUCGAAGCAACGCGAAGAACCUUACCAGGUCUUGACAUCCCCUGACAACCCGAGAGAUCGGGCGUUCCCCUUCGGGGGACAGGGUGACAGGUGGUGCAUGGUUGUCGUCAGCUCGUGUCGUGAGAUGUUGGGUUAAGUCCCGCAACGAGCGCAACCCUCGACCUUAGUUGCCAGCAUUCAGUUGGGCACUCUAAGGUGACUGCCGGCUAAAAGUCGGAGGAAGGUGGGGAUGACGUCAAAUCAUCAUGCCCCUUAUGACCUGGGCUACACACGUGCUACAAUGGGCGGUACAAAGGGUCGCGAACCCGCGAGGGGGAGCCAAUCCCAAAAAGCCGCUCUCAGUUCGGAUCGCAGUCUGCAACUCGACUGCGUGAAGUCGGAAUCGCUAGUAAUCGUGAAUCAGAAUGUCACGGUGAAUACGUUCCCGGGCCUU
rnacentral:rRNA from 1 species